CGGUAAUACGUAGGUGGCAAGCGUUGUCCUGGAUUUAUUGGGCGUAAAGCGAGCGCAGGCGGUUUUCUUAGGUCUGAUGUGAAAGCGUUCGGCUUAACCGGAGAAGUGCAUCGGAAACCAGGAGACUUGAGUGCAGAAGAGGACAGUGGAACUCCAUGUGUAGCGGUGAAAUGCGUAGAUAUAUGGAAGAACACCAGUGGCGAAAGGCGGCUGUCUGGUCUGUAACUGACGCUGAGGCUCGAAAGCAUGGGUAGCGAACAGGAUUAGAUACCCUGGUAGUCCAUGCCGUAAACGAUGAGUGCUAAGUGUUGGAGGGUUUCCGCCCUUCAGUGCUGCAGCUAACGCAUUAAGCACUCCGCCUGGGGAGUACGACCGCAAGGUUGAAACUCAAAGGAAUUGACGGGGGCCCGCACAAGCGGUGGAGCAUGUGGUUUAAUUCGAUGCUACGCGAAGAACCUUACCAGGUCUUGACAUCUUCUGCCAACCUAAGAGAUUAGGCGUUCCCUUCGGGGACAGAAUGACAGGUGGUGCAUGGUUGUCGUCAGCUCGUGUCGUGAGAUGUUGGGUUAAGUCCCGCAACGAGCGCAACCCUUAUUGUUAGUUGCCAGCAUUCAGUUGGGCACUCUAGCAAGACUGCCGGUGACAAACCGGAGGAAGGUGGGGAUGACGUCAAAUCAUCAUGCCCCUUAUGACCUGGGCUACACACGUGCUACAAUGGACGGUACAACGAGUCGCGAAACCGCGAGGUCAAGCUAAUCUCUUAAAGCCGUUCUCAGUUCGGAUUGUAGGCUGCAACUCGCCUACAUGAAGUUGGAAUCGCUAGUAAUCGUGGAUCAGCAUGCCACGGUGAAUACGUUCCCGGGCCUUGUACACACCGCCCGUCACACCAUGAGAGUUUGUAACACCCAAAGCCGGUGAGGUAACC
rnacentral:rRNA from 2 species